GACAGAGGGUGCAAGCGUUGUCCGGAAUUACUGGGCGUAAAGCGCGUGUAGGCGGCCCUGCAAGUCGGAUGUGAAAUCCCACGGCUCAACCGUGGAAGUGCAUUCGAAACUGCAGGGCUAGAGUCCUGGAGAGGAAGGUGGAAUGCUUGGUGUAGAGGUGAAAUUCGUAGAUAUCAAGCGGAACACCGGUGGCGAAGGCGGCCGUCUGGACAGUGACUGACGCUGAGACGCGAAAGCGUGGGGAGCAAACAGG
rnacentral:rRNA from 1 species